rnacentral:rRNA from 1 species
UACGUAGGGACCAAGCGUUGUUCGGAUUUACUGGGCGUAAAGGGCGCGUAGGCGGCGUGGUAAGUCACUUGUGAAAUCUCCGAGCUUAACUCGGAACGGUCAAGUGAUACUGCUGUGCUAGAGUGCAGAAGGGGCAAUCGGAAUUCUUGGUGUAGCGGUGAAAUGCGUAGAUAUCAAGAGGAACACCUGAGGUGAAGACGGGUUGCUGGGCUGACACUGACGCUGAGGCGCGAAAGCUAGGGUAGCAAACAGG